CACUUUAAGACACCGCUUCUCGUCCGAUCACCGAAGUUAAGCAAAGUUGAACCUGGUUAAUAACUAGAUGGGUGACCAGUGGUGAACACCAGGUGCUGUAAG